rnacentral:rRNA from 1 species
CUACGGGGGGCAGCAGUGGGGAAUAUUGGGCAAUGGGCGCAAGCCUGACCCAGCAACGCCGCGUGAGGGAAGAAGGUUUUCGGAUUGUAAACCUCUGUCCUUGGGGACGAAGAAGUGACGGUACCCAAGGAGGAAGCUCCGGCUAACUACGUGCCAGCAGCCGCGGUAAUACGUAGGGAGCAAGCGUUGUCCGGAAUUACUGGGCGUAAAGGGUGCGUAGGCGGCAUAUUAAGUCAGGUGUGAAAUACUCGGGCUCAACCCGAGGGGUGCAUUUGAAACUGAUAAGCUUGAGUGUGAGAGAGGAAAGUGGAAUUCCUAGUGUAGCGGUGGCAUGCGUAGAUAUUAGGAGGAACACCAGUGGCGAAGGCGACUUUCUGGCUCAUAACUGACGCUGAGGCACGAAAGCGUGGGGAGCAAACAGGAUUAGAUACCCUGGUAGUC